CCUCACAGGGAAGAACUUCUGCCUUAUAUCCAACCUGAAUUUCCCCUGUUUCAGUUUGAGAUAAUCUCUGUUUGAUAGGUACUGACAGACCCGUUUGGUUUUUUUUUUUACUGUGUUUUGUUUUGCUUUUGCCAAACUUUGUUACUCUUUGUAAUUUUGUGGGUUCUUGUGGACUCAGGUGUAAAAACUAUGGAAGAUUAUUUUAGGUGUCACUGAAAUGAGCAUUGAUGCUGGCUACCUAUUUCUUCCAUUAUUAGUAUCAGCUUUUCCACAUCUAUUUCUGUACAAGUAGUUGACGUUUCUAGAGCUUUUUCUACAUUUUUUCAGGAACUUGGGAGACUGAACAUCUCCAGUGCUUUAUGUUCUUAUGACAGUUCACGAAUGGGGCAUGUGCCCUCCUGAAAAUCAAGGCCAUACCAUAUUAUGGCUGAGGUCUUUGUUAUGAAUCACCUUACAGAAAAGGUGGGCUGCUUUACCUGUUUGUGACACAACUGCAUCUGUACAGACCUAUUCCUGGAAUUGAAAUAGUCACACAAAGAAAAGUUCUGCAGAAUCUUGCUUUCUGCUGAUCUUCUUUCUCAGCCUCUAACACAAAUGGUUGAAUCAUUGACAUUGAAGAGCUGACCUUUCAUACAUGCAAAUUUGAGGAUUGAUCAUUGAAAUUGAAUCCAUACAGUCCCAUUUUGAUAUAAAAUGCUGCAGGGUUUUUACACUACAGCAGCAUCAAAAUUUCAUUUGCUUGGCAAAUUCUUACGAAACAAAGUCAUAAGAUAACAAUCACAGUUAAAACCCCUUCUCUUUCUGGUGGUUUUCUCCAGUAGCAUUUGUUACCUUACUGAAAUUUUGCUUCUAAUGCUGGCUUUUUUCUAAACUCUGGCACAUUCCUAUGGGUAUGUGGAAUAAGCUACUGUAUUAGUAGUGGGUUAGUGUGGUGGAUUUAUUCUAUUCAAGUUGUUCACAAAAAGUAGUGUGUUAAAUAAGACAAAUCCAUGAGUUCUUUUGACAACUUGUGGUUACAUGAGGGCUUUUGAAAUGAUUUCCCCCAUCAGAAUGUCAUUUUAAUGAGAACUCAGAGCAGAAAUAAUGAAAUAUUUCAUUUCAAUAAUGGUGAAAAAUAGGCUGUGCUUACUUGAAAAGAGUUUUAAGCUGAAGCAAAAUGCAAGCAAUAGUGUUGGGUUAAAGGGUGUUGAUCAGUCGCCAGUGCAUCUGUCCUUUCCAGUGUUCAGAUCUGCAUAGAAUCAGAGAAUCACAGAAUGGUUUGGGUGGGAAGGUUUAAAGGUCAUCUACUCCAACCCCUGCCAUGACUAGGGGCAUCUUCCAGAACAUGCCUUUUCAAAUGCAGAAUGCUCUGCAGUGCUGUCAGAAGACGGGGUCCUACCUGCAUGACUGUGUGUGGAGAAGGUGAGCUUAAGCUGGUGAGGAAAUGAAUGGAUUUACUCCAUGUGACUAUGGGAGAGGAGGUUGUGGCAUACACAUUCAUGCAAAAAGCCAGAGCAGGAGCAGAUGGGAGCCAGCAUUCCCAUCGGGGAUUUUGGGGGUUCCCUAGUAUUUCUGAGGAAGGGAAGCGAGUACUGACCUGCAUUAUGCAGAGAUGGGUUGGUGAAGCAGAACUGAGGAGAAAACAGCCUAGAUCCAUACUUUCCUUUUUUUUCCUUUUAUAAGCUCUUCAGCCCCUGCUCUGAAGUGUUGCAGGGUUUUGUGAGACACCUUGUGCUAUGGGUUUCAUUCUUCUGGAAAGUGUUUCGAUGGCAAGGGCAGACUUGUGCUCUGCAGCUUCUCAACACUGUCUGCAAGGCCCUGCAGAUAAUGUUCUGGCAACCAACCAGCCUUAUUUCCUUUCUAUUCCUGGUGCUGUGAAUGAGCAGCAAGGGCAGAAGCAACAGGAAAAAACAUCCUUUCUCUUCCUUAUGUGAUUUUUACAGCUUUCCCACAUACUUUGGUAGCAUCAGAGGCAAGUCACUGGGUCUGCGGUCUUGGUCUUACUUGUGGUCAAAUUUCAGUUUACCAGUUCUGAGUAAGUACAGAGAUCUCUUGUGGUCUUUCUUCACUUUGAUUAAGAUACUUUUGUGUUACUAUUAGCUGGUACCGCUCUUUCUAUUUGUGUGUGAUGGUGACAGGUUCAACGUCAGGGAGGGACCUUCUCUUGGAUCUAGCUGCCCAAACCACAAUACUUCUAUGGAGAUACUUUAAGAAGGGCAAAGUCCCUGUGUGAAGAAGACAAGCUUUUCAUGCUGACAUCUCUACCAAUUGUUCCAAUCGCAGUCCCAUGUACAAAAGUCUCUUCCUGAACUUGGCUGUUUGGAAAAUGCUGAUCAAAUGCCCCUGGCCUCUUUGGAGCAGAAGAGUGGAUCUGGUAACGUCAAUCUUCACACAGCCUCUUGUCUUACAGGUUGCUAGCAGCACAGAAAGUACCUUUUCUGAGGUUUUCAUAUCUGUGGAAACAGAUCAGAAUCUUGCAGAUCAGGUUCUUGAUUACUUGCUGUAGUUGCUAAAAGCAAAAGCAAGGAAACAAACAUCUUCUUGGAAUUUUCCAGAAUUCUUAGUGCCUCUGUAGUUUUCAUUUUGCAAGACCUGAAAUCACAAGCAGCUUGCAGCGUGCAGUUACUGCACUAAAUAAUGCUAAAUGAAUGCUAACUGCAUGCAACAAGAACCUCCAUACAUCAGGGCUGUGUUAUGGUAAGAUGACUGCAGAUACCACCAGCACUACAUCACCUUUGAAAGGUCUUAUCAGUUAUGCAAGUGGAGAAAUCUCACCACAGUUACAUUGACUAUUCAUUUCCAGCCUCCCACUUAAAAGCUUCUUUCAUACCCAGAGUAGCAAAGUCCUGUUGAGUUCUCUGUAGGAUUUGCCUGAAAUAGUGUUUUAAUGAUCAUUUUGAUUGGCAUUACUAAAUGGCCCUUGAUUUCUGUAAAUCAAGUCAAAUGGGCGUAUUUGCAUAACAGAUGGGAGUUGAUGAGGUUGCUCUGGGGCUGUGUUAAGAGAGAGAGGUAGGAUAAAAGUGGGGAAAAAUUAAGAGGUCCUGGAGGAAAAUGUGUGCAUGUAGAUCCCUGCUGGAAGCAUCCUAGUGUUGGGAGGAGCACUGUAGUGGCUGUUGGAUGGUACUCUCUUUCAGACCAAGUGUGCAAAGCUGGUGCUGAGGCAGUGGCAAGCAGCAAUAGUAUAGGAAGGAGAACAGCAAUUCCUGCCUGGCACAUAGACUCAGAGGAGCAGAUUGGGAGGAGGCUGCUGACCAUAAUGCUUCUUUUGCACAGUCAUAGGAUCAUAGAAUCAUAGAAUGUUUUGGGUUGGAAAGGACCUUAAGUUUCAACCCCCUGCCAUGGGCAGGGACACCUUCCACUAGACCAUGUCACCAAAGGCUCUGUCCAACCUGGCCUUUAACACUGCCAGGGAUGGGGCAUUUACCACUACCCUGGGCACGCUGUGCCAGCGCCUCAGCACCCUCACAGGGAAGAACUUCUGCCUUAGAUCUAACCUGAACUUCCCCUGUUUCAGUUUGAACCCAUCACCCCUUGUCCUAUCGCUACAGUCCCUGAUGAAGAGUCCCUCUCCAGCAGCCUUGUAGCCCCCUUCAGACACUGGAAGCUGCUCUGAGGUCUCCACGCAGCUUCUCUUCUCCAGGCUGAACAGCCCCAAUGUUCUCAGCCUGUCUUCAUACGGGAGGUGCUCCAGCCCCUGAUCAUUCCUGUGGCCUCCUCUGGACUUGCUCCAACAGCUCCAUGUCCUUCUGAUGUUGGAGACACCAGAACUGCACACAAUACAGUCAAAAGGAAUGAGACUGACCUCCAGAGUAAAAGGCAAGUGUGUAAUGCAACUUCAUGCUUAGGGAGUGCCUGUGGUGGCCCAAGUGCUGUAUGAAAACAAACCAACCAACUUGUUUUUACAUUUUCAUCGUGAUUUGUACUUCGUACAAUUAAGCUGAUUCUUCCCUUCAUCUACGUUUCCAUGGCAGUUUAGCGCAAUAGAAGAGAGGACACAGGCUGGCUUUCCGAGGAACUCUGAUAUAAAAAUGUGGGUUUAAGAAUGAGUCAGCUUUGCUUCACUAGAAUGUCUGUCAAUGGAUAAAUACUCUAGUCUUUCAUGGUUCAGUAGGUCGGUAUGUACCAUAAUUCAUUGCUUGGAAACUCUUGUUCAGCUAAAAUGACACCUUUGUUCAACUGACAUUUUGAAAUUCCCUGCUUUAUUUUUGUCUGUACUAACACCAUCAUCUUGUCCUUUCUCACCAGCAGAUGACAAAGCCCUCUCUAAAAAGAGGAGUGGCAUUAUCUACUGUAGCUCAGUGCAUGGAGGAGAAGGGUUUGUUCCAGGUGACAGAGAAGGGAGCCAUACCGGUUUGACGAGCUCCAGGACCUGGAUUCUCGAGCCCGUCACUUAAAGAUGCUGGUGACAAGACUCUCUUCUCCCCCUCCAUGCAAGGGGCCAACCUCCAUCCUGAUCCUGGUGAAAAGCAGACGCACAGCACAGUGCUUUGCAGAGAGCCGAGGCUGCCAUUACAGCUGAGCAGUGAUUGGGGAUUGCAGCAGAUAAAACUUGCGUGUCCAUCUCCCACACUUCACAUCUAGGACACCUUCUGUCAUAAUCUUCAGAAAAUCUAGAGGCAGAAAUCAAAGCUGAAGUGUGUCAUUAUCCAGCACUAGCUUAUUGUUAAAUGCAUGUGCAUUUGCUUGGCUUUUCAGAGUUCUUGCCUUUGUCAGUUGGCUUGCUGGUGAGUACCGUGGCCGGUGUGAAACACGUUACAGAGCGUCUUGAUCUCCUGUAGACUGUGUGUGGAAUGAACUGGUAGAUUCAGAGUGGUAAGUGAUAUGAACUCCACACCACUUGCAAAGCUCUCCGGGCAACCACCAGUUCUUAAAGAGCAUCUUCACGUACUUCUUAAAUUUUUCCCCCAUGAAGAAGUAGAUGACUGGAUUGAGGCAACAGUGAGAAAGGCCGAGGAUUUCUGUUACCUGGAAAGCAUAGUCCAGAUUCCUGCUUGCUUGACAGUCUCUAAAGACUCCCAUGACUUCCAGCAGUUGUAAAAAGAUAACAAUGUUGUAAGGGGUCCAAAAGAAGAAAAACACAAUCAUGACAGCAAAGAUCAUCCUCACAGCCUUAUUCUUUUUCUCAUUUCUACAGUGAACUAAUGUUUUAAUGAUCAUGGAGUAGCAAAAUGUCAUAACUAUAAGAGGGAUUAGAAGCCCUAAGAUGUUGAUUUCCAAAGUACAAAAAAGCUUCCAUGUUGUGAAAUUGCCUGGAUAUCUUGGCUUGCAGGUAGUAUAAUUCUGUUCAUUAAAAGAUUCUGUGAAUACAA